AGUGAACGCUGGCGGUAUGCCUAACACAUGCAAGUCGAACGGCAGCACAGUAAGAGCUUGCUCUUACGGGUGGCGAGUGGCGGACGGGUGAGGAAUACAUCGGCAUCUACUUUUUCGUGGGGGAUAACGUAGGGAAACUUACGCUAAUACCGCAUACGACCUACGGGUGAAAGCAGGGGAUCUUCGGACCUUGCGCGAUUGAAUGAGCCGAUGUCGGAUUAGCUAGUUGGCGGGGUAAAGGCCCACCAAGGCGACGAUCCGUAGCUGGUCUGAGAGGAUGAUCAGCCACACUGGAACUGAGACACGGUCCAGACUCCUACGGGAGGCAGCAGUGGGGAAUAUUGGACAAUGGGCGAAAGCCUGAUCCAGCAAUACCGCGUGGGUGAAGAAGGCCUUCGGGUUGUAAAGCCCUUUUGUUGGGAAAGAAAAGCAGCAGGUUAAUACCCCGCUGUUCUGACGGUACCUAAAGAAUAAGCACCGGCUAACUUCGUG
rnacentral:rRNA from 1 species